GGGGGGGGGGGGGGGGGGGGCGGGGGCGGGGGGGGCGGGGGGGGGGGCGGGGGGGGGGGGCGGCGGAGGGGGGCGGCGGACGGGGGAGUGAGGCGUGGAUGACCGGCCUAUAGGACUGGGAUGACUUCGGGAAGCCGGAGCUCAUACCGGAUAAGAUAUUGAACCGCAUGGUUCAAUAGUGAAGGGCGGUUUUGCUGUCCCUGCUAGAUGGAUCCGCGCCGCAUGAGAGAGUUGGUAAGGUAACGGCUUACCCAGGCGACGAUGCGUAGCCGACCGGAGAGGGUGAUCGGCCACACUGGAACUGAGACCCGGUCCAGACUCCUACGGGAGGCAGCAGUAGGGAAUCUUCCGCAAUGGGCGAAAGCCUGACGGAGCAACGCCGCGUGAGUGAUGAAGGUCUUCGGAUCGUAAAACUCUGUUAUUAGGGAAGAACAAAUGUGUAAGUAACUAUGCACGUCUUGACGGUACCUAAUCAGAAAGCCACGGCUAACUACGUG
rnacentral:rRNA from 1 species